CUCUUGAAAGAAAACCUUCUCUGAAAAUUUCCAACACUCAAAGUUGAUUUCGGAGCUGCUCUCCGCCUCAACAAAAACCACGCCCUCCGCAUUGCAAUUGAUUUGGAGCUCAACAAAAACCAUCCUCGUUUUGCGCCAUGGGGGUUCCGGUUUGCCUCCGGUAGAAGUAUCCGUUCAUCUCGUUUCUUUGAGCUCAGGACAAGCCUCUAUCUCUCUCUCUCUCUCUCGUUUUUACUCUCUCAGUAAUUUCGUCGAACACCUUCUUUGCAUCUUCGAUUUCCUACUUUCUUCUCACUUCCUGCAUUUUGUUGAUUCACAUUUUUGUGUCUCAGCUCGUUUUGAAUUUCCUAUUGAUUUUGCGGUUUGAUUGUGUGGACUGAUUGUGAGGGCCAAGAAAUAUUGGCUUCGUUUCUCAGGAAAUAGCGAGUGACCUAUGAAUUUAACUUCUGGUGCUUUUCUUUCUAUUCUAGAAAAGAAAAUAUAAACUUCACAGCAUUGAGCAAAAUCUAAUUAGUUGGCUGUUUGUUCUUUUUGAGUUGAUUGGUAUGCUGUUUAUUCAGCUGGAAUUUGGAUAUUGAGAGUAGGAUUGAUGGGCCGUGUGAGUUUAAUGCAGAGGCAUAUAACUAUUUUUGUGCAUAUGUGUGUGUGUUGUGUACACAUUUAGUACAAUUCUGAUUCUUUUGAAUAUGGAUACAAGCUGCAGAUUUGAUAUCUUGGGCUUUAGCUUAUGUGGUUCCAGGUGGUACUUUCAUUUUCGUGGUGUUGUUCUGGACUUUGUGUUUAAGAGAAAAGCCAUGUGUUCAUUUUAGUGGUAUCUGAUAUGAAUACAAUAUGGAAAUGGCUCCCUGUUUGAGACAUGCAACUUUUUUUUGAAAUCAGUGGUUAUUGACAUUGUAUAAAUGUGUAAUCAUGUCCGAAACUUACUUGGGGAAAUAGGCUUGUCUGUGGCUGCAUUUUGCAUUGCCAUUUGCAGAGGUUUACUUAAUUAAUGGCAUUUUGCAUUGCAAUUUGCACAAGUCUUACUACUGUAGUUUCCAUAAUCCACACCAUUGGCAUUGGCUAUAUGUAAUGUAGACAUAGGUCCCUCCCCCGCCCUGUCUUACCUGCUAUGCUGUUAGGCUACUCACGAUUCAGAUAUAGAAUGGUGCCAGAGGCCAAAUCGAAACUCUUGUUAUGAAUGACCUUAUGUAAUCAUUAUGAUUUGUACAAUUACAACUUCUAUCUCAACAAGUCAUAGUUGCUUGCCUUGGCUUGAUUUGCAUUGCGGUGGGAUUGGCAAUGGCCAAGGGCACCCUCUAUGUUCUAUUGUUCUGGGGACCAAAAGAAAAUGAAAAACAUGACCUUUCGUUAUCUUCAGACUUCAUAAUCUUAAGUCUAUAUUGUUCAGACUUCAGAGGUUUUCCUAGUCAGUCUGAGGAACCAUAGAAGUUAAUUCUCAAGCUAGGAGCUGUUUGAGGAAUGAGGUACAGGAAUCAAGAUACAAGUAAUGUUGAUAUGUACAGGUUCUAUGUUCUGGUUACUUUAAGUAUUGAACUCCUUUGUAGUUUUUAGCAAUCGAUACUUGGAGUAAUUAGGUCCUUCCCUAUUGUAGUGUGUUUGCCAUUGGGAGUGUUUCCAAGAAUAUUCAACAUGUGUAUACAAUCAAAUUAGAAGCCCAGUUCCAACAAUGGCAAACAACAUCCCUUGCCAAAUGUUAUAAGCUGUUCUUCUUAUGUAUAGUUCAACUUUCCUGAUUUUUAACCAUUCCUAUUAUUUUAAGCUCUCAAACCGCGAGCAAUUGAUUUUGUUUAGUUCAUGGGAUAUGUGUGAGAGUUGAUGGUCGCCUAUAGUAAAAAGUGGGAAUUAAGCUACCAAUCUGGUUUCCGUUUACUUUUGCAUUUCAAGAAGCACCAGGGGGUUAUUUGCUGCUCAUUGUUAGAAUCAGGGUGUGAUGGGCAAGUAGCAUUUAUAUCCUCACACUGCAUACAUGUGAACUCCUUUGAUGUGCUGAGAUUGAGCUUGCACUAUAUUGGAUUAGGCAGUGAACCUUGAACCUAUGUGUGCAUUUCUUGUACAAUUUUUGUGAUAAAUGCUUAGUUUUCUAUCUUUGGACUUUCUCUUACUUUUAAACAUACUGAAGCUGAUGAGAUACGGAGUUGGUUGUUGAAGUAUCCUAUAAGGGAAAUAUGAGGAUUAUAAUCAUAGAGUAACAUUUGCCUGAAGAUGGGGAGGGAAGGAGGGUCCUAUGAGCAUGAUGGGCAUUGGGGUUAUUGUUUCUUAAACUAUUUUGGAAAUGCCAGGAAGAUAGUCGUAGGACAUAUAAUUAAAUAGGCACUUGGUCCCCAACCUCAAUGCACCAGUUUUCAUGUCUCUGGGAUAUUGAAUGAAGAUGUUAUAGUUAGUGACAUUAAUAUAUUAUUUCCUUAAUUAUCCAUUUGCCAUGCUUUGAGGAUAUGAUUUUGACUUUGAUUUUUUACUUUAUACAGAAUACCAUGGAAUAGUGUCCCUUCCAAUUCUGAAUAGAUAAGAUAGCUGACGUUCAUUGUUAGGUUAAUGUCAUGAAAUUUCCACAGAUUGCACUAUUUUCUUCCUUCUUGAUGUUGGGAUAGAGAUCUAUUUACAUUUUUAUGAAGAACUUAUUGUCUCGAUAACUUGACUGUUGGAAUGGUGAAAAUCUUAUUUCUCUGAAUAAAUUUGCAAUGAAAGUAUCCUCUCUGUUACAUUAUGGCGUUAGAAAAUUGACAUAGUGAAAGAUACCAAUGUUAACAGUCCUUGUCUGAGAAGCACUGAAAGUGAUGUUAAAGUUUCUCAGAUAACUUGUUCAUAAUUAUAUUGCACCUGUUAAUUGUUUGUAUUAGGUUCUUUUUUUUGUAUUAGUUACUUUAUACAAAAUGGUAACUGGGUUUUCUUUCUUUGACCUAGCUAAUGGUAAUGGAACUACCUAUGAUUUUGAAAGUUUCUCAAGGCAUUACAAAAAUGGCCAUUGCGACUUGUAAAAGGCAAUCCUCAUGCUUAAGUCUUUGCAGGAAGUGUAAUCGCAUGGCCUGUCAAAUAUAUCAUGGUGAAUUCGGCUGUCAAUUGAGGUUGCUUCUGUAGAAAAUGAUCCAGGUGGUGGAAGUGAUGUUGAAACAUCAGGACCUGUACAUCCUUAAACCUUGAGGCUGUGAGCAGAAUAUUACAGAGCAAGGAUGAUCUAGCUAGCAUGUUUUAUAUUUGAAUAUUAGUUUAAUUAUACUACGAUUUUGUAAUAUGAAGUUGUUUAAUUGACAUAAUUUACUACAUGAAUGCUCUUGUUUAUUA